rnacentral:rRNA from 1 species
CAAUAGCGUAUAUUAAAGUUGUUGCAGUUAAAAAGCUCGUAGUUGGAUAUCUGGUUCGGGUGACCAGUCAGAGUCGAAAGGCUCCUGAUUUGUGUCGCUCACGCCAUUUUCAUGGAACUGCCAACAGGAUUAACUUUCUGCUUGGAAAGCCAUGACUUUUACUGUGAAAAAAUUAGAGUGUUUAAAGCAGGCAAUCGCUUGAAUAUAUUAGCAUGGAAUAAUAAGAUAGGACUUUGGUACUAUUUUGUUGGUUUGCAUACCAAAGUAAUGAUUAACAGGAACAGUUGUGGAUAUUCGUAUGAGCAUGUCAGAGGUGAAAUUCUUGGAUUUUGGUCAGACGAACUACUGCGAAAGCAUUUAUCAAGGAUGUUUUCAUUAA